AUACGUAGGGGGCGAGCGUUGUCCGGAAUGAUUGGGCGUAAAGGGCGCGUAGGCGGCUUUGCAAGUCAGUAGUGGAAGUCCAUUUUUCAAGGAUGGAAGUGCUACAGAAACUGCGGAGCUUGAGUGCAGGAGAGGUUAUCGGAAUUCCCGGUGUAGCGGUGAAAUGCGUAGAGAUCGGGAGGAACACCAGUGGCGAAGGCGGGUAACUGGACUGCAACUGACGCUGAGGCGCGAAAGUGUGGGGAGCAAACAGGAUUAGAUACCCUGGUAGUCCACACUGUAAACGAUGAAUGCUAGGUGUAGGAGGUAUCGACCCCUUCUGUGCCGCAGUAAACACAGUAAGCAUUCCGCCUGGGGAGUACGGUCGCAAGAUUAAAACUCAAAGGAACUGACGGG
rnacentral:rRNA from 1 species